rnacentral:rRNA from 1 species
GACGAGCGCUGGCGGCGUGCUUAACACAUGCAAGUCGAACGGUGAAGGGAUCAGCUUGCUGGUUCUGGAUGAGUGGCGAACGGGUGAGUAACACGUGAGUAACCUGCCCCCUUCUUCUGGAUAACCGCAUGAAAGUGUGGCUAAUACGGGAUAUUCUGGGUCUGUCGCAUGAUGGGUCUGGGAAAGAUAUUGUUACGGUGGGGGAUGGGCUCGCGGCCUAUCAGCUUGUUGGUGGGGUGAUGGCCUACCAAGGCGGUGACGGGUAGCCGGCCUGAGAGGGUGGACGGUCACACUGGGACUGAGACACGGCCCAGACUCCUACGGGAGGCAGCAGUGGGGAAUAUUGCACAAUGGGCGCAAGCCUGAUGCAGCGACGCCGCGUGAGGGAUGGAGGCCUUCGGGUUGUAAACCUCUUUCGCCAGUGAAGCAGGCCUGCUCCUUGUGGGUGGGUUGACGGUAGCUGGAUAAGAAGCGCCGGCUAACUACGUG